UACGGGGGGAGCAAGCGUUGUUCGGAUUUACUGGGCGUAAAGGGCGCGUAGGCGGUCGUGACAAGUCACUUGUGAAUCUCCGGGCUUAACUCGGAACGGUCAAGUGAUACUGUCGGACUAGAGUACAGAAGGGGCAACUGGAAUUCUCGGUGUAGCGGUGAAAUGCGUAGAUAUCGAGAGGAACACCUGCGGCGAAGGCGGGUUGCUGGGCUGAUACUGACGCUGAGGCGCGGAAAGCCAGGGGAGCGAACGGG
rnacentral:rRNA from 1 species